rnacentral:ncRNA from 1 species
ACAAUGGAGAGUUUGAUCCUGGCUCAGGAUGAACGCUAGCGGGAGGCCUAACACAUGCAAGCCGAGGGGUAUAUUUCUUUCGGGAGAUAGAGACCGGCGCACGGGUGCGUAACGCGUAUGCAACUUGCCCUACUGAAGGGGAUAGCCCAGAGAAAUUUGGAUUAAUACCUUAUAAUAGGAA